UUAAUGAAGUACUUCGAUUUCUACAUACACUUUCUAUAAAUUAAUUAUCACUUUAAUACAAACAUCAAGUGAGGGUAAUAUAUCAAGUAUAAUUAAAUUGAUACGUUUUUUUUAAACCCAAUAGGCAUGCCUUUACUUAUAACUCUGACAAACAAAAACAAAUAAACUUUUUAACUGAAUAUAACACAAUCCUUACACAUAUCUGGUGUAAAAUCAAAAUAAGAAGAAAAACGACUAUAAAAAUCACAGGGUUUUUUUAUACUAGUACCUUAAAGUCCGAAUUAACGACCAUUAAUGGAAAAAUUAGCUAAAACGUUGAGUUAUUUCUCUAUUAAACCUUCCAAAUUUGGUGGUAUGGAUUUCUUGUUACAUUCGUGACAAUAUAUUAUAAUCUGCAUGUUUCUUAUGAAUGAUUCCACCUUUAAAGCCCUCGGAAGAUUCGGAUCUGUGGCCACUACGCAAUCAGUUACUGACGUCGAGACUUGUAGUUUUUCUUUUAAUUUUACUUCACACAUUCUUACCAAAGGACUCACCCUAUUAGGCUCGUCGUAGAACAUAUGGGCUGACUUUUAUAUUUACGUGCUACAUAAUGUGCAGUUCAUACUCUCAUCCUCGUUAUUCGACUUACUCGAUUAAAUUGAUGAGGUAGCGAUUCUGUAGCGGUGCCUUUUUUGCUUUGAUGAAGUGAAAGGGUUAUUAAAUAGUAUUUUUGUAUCGAAGUCAACACUCGAGAGACUUAGCUUGUCGAACUGUUAAAUUAAUACAUUAAUAUCCACUAAAAAAUGGUUUAUGAGCAUAUCUAUAAUAUAAAAGGCUUACAAAGAUAAUAUGAUCAAAUUUAUCUCUACUGGACAGUUUACACCGUAAUUAUAUUUUACGUGAACUUUAAUCAAUCGCACUUUUUUUUUUAAAUUGAAUUCUUUUUGAGUGAGGAAUAUCUUCUAGGAGCCUUGAUUUAAUUAAACUUUUUUGGGCUGGAUAGAUGAAGACUUUUCUAUUUUUAAAACACUCGUAAAAAUUUUGUAAGAGGUAUUUAGAAGAGAUAUAAGUCUGUAAUUUUGUAUUUCUUCCCCCGAACGAUGUUUCUUUAGUAUAUAGUGUAUUGGACCCUACAAGGGGGGUUGCGUUUAUUUAUUUUAUUAAUUGUUCAGUGGUCGGCGUUCCUUGUUUUGCUUGUAAUUAUGCUACCUAUAUGUGAUGGUUAUUUUUUCUCUUCUUAUUAGUAUUGUUAAUAAAAACCUUAUCUUGAAUACACAUGUGUUUCAACUGUGAAAAGAGGUUAGCCCAGACACAAAUUAGGAUGAGAAAAUUGUGUUCUUUCAGCAUCAAUACCAGAGGUCUGGUGCUGUUUAAAUCUGAAAAAUAUUUCUUUUUAAAUAUAUCUUCAUAGACCGCGUUAGCUGGGUAUUAAAAGGUGUAUAAAAUUCAAAGGGCAGACCUGAGGCCCCUGGACACUUGUAUUUUUUAUUAUAGUUUCCAAUAAAGUUAAUAAUCUCAGUUUGUGUAAUUGGGUUGUCUAUACCCUUAAAUUUAUAACUAACUUGAUUAUCAGUCUCUUCAUAUUUAGGAACCAAGAAGCGUUGUAAAUAUGGUUUCCAUUUUAAAGGAUCAUUGAUGGGGCGCCAAUUGUUACAAAAUUCGCACAGAGAGUCUGCAGAAAAAUCAGAAGUAGCCGUAUAACUUGGAAAGGAAGAUUUCAAGUUUCCAGAAGGAUUUUUUGGGUUUUGUUGGACUCUGAAAAGAUGUUUAGUAGGAUAGUGGUCUGAAAUAUGUGAAAUCUAAAGCAACACUUUUCCAGUUGUGUUGUAUUUCCUCAGGUCAUUUUUGGUGAUACAUUCUUAAACACUACCCCGGCCUCGUUAAGAUUAAGUUUGUUGACUAAUUUUUCAAGAUUUUUAGCGUUCUUAAUAUUUUUGCAACCUUUAUAUCCAAGAGCAUCUCUGCAUGAUUUUCUGGGGAGAUUAAAGUCUCCAACUAAGAUGCAUGUAUUACUUUUUGUAGGGGGAUACUUUUCUACAACUUUAGAGAACCAAAAUGUUGAGUCAUAAUUGGGCCCAUAUAUUGGGUGGAGUGUCAAACAGUUAUAAUAAAUGAUGCACGACAAAAAAGAAACAUUAACAUGGUUUUCGUUUAUUUAGAAUAAAUUAUCUCAGAUCCCUAUUUUUCAAUAUCUCUUUAUAAUCCAAUUAUAUAUGUAUUUUAAUUUUUUUUUUGAAGUACUUUGAUUUAUCUCAAUCAAUAUAUAUUAUAUAAUAGACGUAGAAGAGUAUUCAUGACUUUAUUUGAGAUAUUUGGGAGUACUUUACACGUCACAGUAUUUUAAUAAUUUGUAUAUUGUACGGAUCUGGUGCAAGCUCUGGGCAUAAAGGACUCAUAUUUUAGGAAGAAAUAAUAUAUUUUAAGCUUGUUUUACCCACACAUUUAUACUCAAUUUUCAUUUUCUUUACUUUAUCAAGAUCACUAAUCGUGCGUGGGUUGUUUUUCUUAUGAUAAUUAGUCCACGUUUUUAGAAUUUCUGAAAGCAGAUAAGAACUGCAACAAAAAUACUAAAUAGUAUGUUAUAAAUAAACUAAUUUUUGUUAGAACUGGGAUUUGUGUAAUUGUCAUAUACAGAGCCUGAAUUGCUGGCUAAAUGGAACCCUUUGUAUCACAAAAAGCUAUGUGAUCCAAAAUAUAAAUAUUAAAAACUAUAAAUAAGCUAAUAUGUGUAUAAUGUUUCAUUUAAUGAGCUAUAUUAAGAUUAUCUUAUUCAAUAAGAUAAUGCAGGAUUUCCUGGGAAUUUCAUUCAGGUGUAAAAUAAGGCUUGUAAGCGUUUUGCUAUUUUGACGUUCCAUUCAGAGUUCCGUUCAAAUUUUUUUUUUCGUUCAGCUUUCAUCGUUCACCCAUUAUUUUCGUUCCGUUCCGUUCCGCCUUACAAUUAUUAGGUAAUACCAGGCUUUUACAGUAUACAUACAUUCACUAGCCCACUCGUUAAAGGAAACUUAUAGUUUUUGAGGUAUGAAAUAGUCGGAUACUCCAAAAGAAUUUGCUAAAUUAAAUUGAAUGUAUAAAAACGAGAACGCUUUCA
rnacentral:lncRNA from 1 species